CGGAGGAAAAGAAACUAACAAGGAUUCCCCUAGUAACUGCGAGUGAAGAGGGAAAAGCUCAAAUUUAAAAUCUGAUAGUCUUUGGCUGUCCGAGUUGUAAAUUAGAGAAGUGUUAUCCGCUCAAGCCUGUGCAAAAGUCUCUUGGAAAAGGGCAUCAUAGAGGGUGACAAUCCCGUCUUUGGCACAGAUCACUUGCGCUUUUGUGAUGCGCUCUCGAUGAGUCGAGUUGUUUGGGAAUGCAGCUCCAAAUGGGUGGUAAAUUCCAUCUAAAGCUAAAUAUUGGCGAGAAACCGAUAGCGCACAAGUACCGUGAGGGAAAGAUGAAAAGAACUUUGAAAAGAGAGUUAAACAGUACGUGAAAUUGUUGAAAGGGAAACGCUUGAAGUCAGUCGUAUCCUUCAGAAUCAACCCUUACUUUGGUUGGGCAUACUUUUUGUUGGAUGGGUCAGCAUCAAUUUUGAUCAUUGGAUAAAGGACUUGGGAAUGUGGCAUCUUUAGAUGUGUUAUAGCCCUUGUUUGUAUACAAUGAUUGGGAUUGAGGAACUCAGUGUGACUUUGGUCUGGGGGUAUUACCUCACACACGCACUUAGGAUGCUGGCAUAAUGGCUUUAAUCGACCCGUCUUGAAACACGGACCAAGGAGUCUAACAUGCAUGCGAGUGUUUGGGUGGAAAACUCAAGCGCGUAAUGAAAGUGAAAGUUGAGAACCCUGUCGUGGGGUGCACUGACGCCCGGUCUUGACCUUUUGUGACGGACCUGCGGUAGAGCAUGUAUGUUGGGACCCGAAAGAUGGUGAACUAUGCCUGAAUAGGGUGAAGCCAGAGGAAACUCUGGUGGAAGCUCGUAGCGAUUCUGACGUGCAAAUCGAUCGUCAAAUUUGGGUAUAGGGGCGAAAGACUAAUCGAACCAUCUA
rnacentral:rRNA from 2 species